rnacentral:lncRNA from 1 species
UUAUCUUGGUUAUUUUCUUCUUUUUCUUCUAAUUCAUCUUCUAAUUGCAAUUUUUCUUUAAAUUUAAUUAUCUCAUUUGCUAAUUUUAUUUUUUGUUCUUUUUCUUUUUGUUUAUUUUCAUACAUUUCUUUUAAUAUUGUCAGCUCUUUUUCUAGUUCUAUUAUUUUUAGUAUUUUUUUUACUUCUUCUAAUUGUUGUACUUCCUUUUUUGCUUGUUGUUUUAUUUUUUCAAUUUCCG